rnacentral:rRNA from 1 species
AGGAGAAAGGUUGCUUUCUUGCUGACGAGUGGCGGACGGGUGAGUAAUGCUUGGGAAUCCGGCUUAUGGAGGGGGAUAACGACGGGAAACUGUCGCUAAUACCGCGUAUUAUCGGAAGAUGAAAGUGCGGGACUGAGAGGCCGCAUGCCAUAGGAUGAGCCCAAGUGGGAUUAGGUAGUUGGUGGGGUAAAGGCCUACCAAGCCUGCGAUCUCUAGCUGGUCUGAGAGGAUGACCUGCCACACUGGAACUGAGACACGGUCCAGACUCCUACGGGAGGCAGCAGUGGGGAAUAUUGCGCAAUGGGGGGAACCCUGACGCAGCCAUGCCGCGUGAAUGAAGAAGGCCUUAGGGUUGUAAAGUUCUUUCGGUAUUGAGGAAGGUUGAUGUGUUAAUAGCACAUCAAAUUGACGUUAAAUACAGAAGAAGCACCGGCUAACUCCGUGCCAGCAGCCGCGGUAAUACGGAGGGUGCGAGCGUUAAUCGGAAUAACUGGGCGUAAAGGGCACGCAGGCGGUUAUUUAAGUGAGGUGUGAAAGCCCCGGGCUUAACCUGGGAAUUGCAUUUCAGACUGGGUAACUAGAGUACUUUAGGGAGGGGUAGAAUUCCACGUGUAGCGGUGAAAUGCGUAGAGAUGUGGAGGAAUACCGAAGGCGAAGGCAGCCCCUUGGGAAUGUACUGACGCUCAUGUGCGAAAGCGUGGGGAGCAAACAGGAUUAGAUANCCUGGUAGUCCACGCUGUAAACGCUGUCGAUUUGGGGGUUGGGGUUUA